AAGGCUUGACAUGUUGGGCAAAACUAGGGAAACCUAGUGGAGGUUAUCCUAACACAGGUGCUGCAUGGCCGUCGUCAGUUCGUGCCGUGAGGUGUAUGGUUAAGUCCUAUAACGAACGUAACCCUUAGGUUUAGUUGCCAGCAUUCAGUUGGGGACGUCUAGACCGACUGCCCGAGUAAUCGGGAGGAAGGAAAGGAUGACGUCUGGUCGUCAUGGCCCGUUAUGCCUUGGGCGACACACGUGCUACAA
rnacentral:rRNA from 1 species